GACGAACGCUGGCGGCGUGCCUAAUACAUGCAAGUCGAGCGGACGUUGUUGGAGCUUGCUCCAAUAACGUUAGCGGCGGACGGGUGAGUAACACGUGGGCAACCUGCCUUAACGACUGGGAUAACUCCGGGAAACCGGGGCUAAUACCGGAUAACAUCUAGCACCUCCUGGUGCAAGAUUAAAAGAGGGCCUCUGGCUCUCACGUUAAGAUGGGCCCGCGGCGCAUUAGCUAGUUGGAGAGGUAAUGGCUCCCCAAGGCGACGAUGCGUAGCCGACAUGAGAGGGUGAGCGGCAACACUGGGACUGGGACACGGCCCAGACGCCUACGGGAGGCAGCAGUAGGGAAUCUUCCGCAAUGGACGAAAGUCUGACGGAGCAACGCCGCGUGAGUGAAGAAGGGUUUCGGCUCGUAAAGCUCUGUUAUGAGGGAAGAACACGUACCGUUCGAAUAGGGCGGUACCUUGACGGUACCUCAUCAGAAAGCCACGGCUAACUACGUGCCAGCAGCCGCAGUAA
rnacentral:rRNA from 1 species